GUCUUUUUGAUUUUAAUUUAAAGUCAAAUCUGCCCACUGAUUUAUAUUAAAGGGCUGCAGUAUAUUGACUGUACAAAGGUAGCAUAAUAAAUAGUCUUUUAAUUGAAGACUUGUAUGAAAGAUUUGAUGAGAUAUAAACUGUCUCUUUUUUAUAUUUAGAAUUUAAUUUUUUAGUAAAAAAGCUAAAAUUAAUUUAAAAGACGAGAAGACCCUAUAGAGUUUUAUAAUUAAUUUACUUAUAUAUUUAUAUAUAUAAAUUAAAAUUUAAUUAAUUUAAUUAUUUUGUUGGGGUGAUAGAAAAAUAAAUUUAACUUUUUUUAAAAUAUUACAUUAAUUAAUGAAUAUAUGAUCCAUAAAUUAUGAUUAAAAGAAAAAAUUACCUUAGGGAUAACAGCGUAAUUUUUUUUUUUAGUUCUUAUAGGAAAAAAAGUUUGCGACCUCGAUGUUGGAUUAAGAUAAAAUUUAAAUGUAGAAGUUUAAAAUUUUUGAUCUGUUCGAUCAUUAAAAUCUUACA
rnacentral:rRNA from 1 species